GAUGAACGCUGGCGGCGUGCCUAAUACAUGCAAGUCGAGCGAACGGACGAGAAGCUUGCUUCUCUGCUGUUAGCGGCGGACGGGUGAGUAACACGUGGAUAACCUACCUAUAAGACGGGGAUAACUUCGGGAAACCGGAGCUAAUACCGGAUAAUAUUUUGAACCGCAUGGUUCAAAAGUGAAAGACGGUCUUGCUGUCACUUAUAGAUGGAUCCGCGCUGCAUUAGCUAGUUGGUAAGGUAACGGCUUACCAAGGCAACGAUGCAUAGCCGACCUGAGAGGGUGAUCGGCCACACUGGAACUGAGACACGGUCCAGACUCCUACGGGAGGCAGCAGUAGGGAAUCUUCCGCAAUGGGCGAAAGCCUGACGGAGCAACGCCGCGUGAGUGAUGAAGGUCUUCGGAUCGUAAAACUCUGUUAUUAGGGAAGAACAUAUGUGUAAGUAACUGUGCACAUCUUGACGGUACCUAAUCAGAAAGCCACGGCUAACUACGUG
rnacentral:rRNA from 1 species